CCCCAGGUCAGGCGGGGCUACCCGCUGAGUUUAAACAUAUCAAUAAGC
rnacentral:rRNA from 1 species